rnacentral:rRNA from 1 species
GACGAACGCUGGCGGCGUGCUUAACACAUGCAAGUCGAGCGGAAAGGCCCUGCUUGCCGGGUACUCGAGUGGCGGACGGGUGAGUAACACGUGGGUGAUCUGCCCUGCACUUCGGGAUAAGCCUGGGAAACUGGGUCUAAUACCGGAUAGGAGCCAUUUUUAGUGUGAUGGUUGGAAAGUUUUUUCGGUGUAGGAUGAGCUCGCGGCCUAUCAGCUUGUUGGUGGGGUAAUGGCCUACCAAGGCGGCGACGGGUAGCCGGCCUGAGAGGGUGGACGGCCACAGUGGGACUGAGAUACGGCCCAGACUCCUACGGGAGGCAGCAGUGGGGAAUAUUGCACAAUGGGCGCAAGCCUGAUGCAGCGACGCCGCGUGGGGGAGGACGGCCUUAGGGUUGUAAACUCCUUUCGCUAGGGACGAAGCUUUUUGUGACGGUACCUAGAGAAGAAGCACCGGCUAACUACGUG